CCGCUGACGAGUGGCGGACGGGUGAGUAAUGCAUAGGAAUCUGCCUAUUUGUGGGGGACAACCUGGUGAAAACCAGGCUAAUACCGCAUACGUCCUACGGGAGAAAGCGGGCUUCGGCUCGUGCAGAUAGAUGAGCCUAUGUCGGAUUAGCUAGUUGGUGGGGUAAGAGCCUACCAAGGCGACGAUCCGUAGCUGGUCUGAGAGGAUGAUCAGCCACACUGGGACUGAGACACGGCCCAGACUCCUACGGGAGGCAGCAGUGGGGAAUAUUGGACAAUGGGCGCAAGCCUGAUCCAGCAAUGCCGCGUGUGUGAAGAAGGCCUUCGGGUUGUAAAGCACUUUCAGAUGGGAGGAAAGGUUAUAGGUUAAUACCCUAUAGCUGUGACGUUACCAUCAGAAGAAGCACCGGCUAACUCUGUGCCAGCAGCCGCGGUAAUACAGAGGGUGCAAGCGUUAAUCGGAAUUACUGGGCGUAAAGCGCGCGUAGGUGGUUUGAUCAGUCGGAUGUGAAAGCCCCGGGCUCAACCUGGGAACUGCAUUCGAUACUGUCGAACUAGAGUAUGGUAGAGGGAAGGGGAAUUCCAGGUGUAGCGGUGAAAUGCGUAGAUAUCUGGAGGAACAUCAGUGGCGAAGGCGCCUUCCUGGACUAAUACUGACACUGAGGUGC
rnacentral:rRNA from 1 species